rnacentral:rRNA from 1 species
CGGGAAAAGCUCAAAUUUAAAAUCUGGUGGUCUUUGGCUGCCCGAGUUGUAAUCUAGAGAAGCAUCAUCCGUGCUGGACCAUGUACAAGUCUCUUGGAACAGAGCGUCAUAGAGGGUGAGAAUCCCGUCCUUGACAUGGACUCCCAGUACUUUGUGUUGUGCUCUCAAC